UACGAAGGGGGCUAGCGUUGUUCGGAAUUACUGGGCGUAAAGGGCGCGCAGGCGGCCUUAGAAGUCAGGCGUGAAAGCCCCGGGCUCAACCUGGGAGGUGCGCUUGAUACUCGAGGGCUUGAGUGCGGGAGAGGAGAGUGGAAUUCCCAGUGUAGAGGUGAAAUUCGUAGAUAUUGGGAAGAACACCGGUGGCGAAGGCGGCUCUCUGGACCGUAACUGACGCUGAGGCGCGAAGGCGUGGGGAGCAAACAGG
rnacentral:rRNA from 1 species